rnacentral:tRNA from 1 species
CGGGGUGCGUAGCGCAGUGGUUGUCGCGCCUUCACAUCAUGUAGGAGGACACCGGUUCGAAUCCGGUCCGCCCCGUCC